rnacentral:rRNA from 1 species
UACGUAGGGGGCAAGCGUUGUCCGGAUUUAUUGGGCGUAAAGAGCGUGUAGGCGGCCGUACAGGUCAGCUGUGAAAACUCGAGGCUCAACCUCGAGACGUCGGUUGAAACCGUACGGCUAGAGUCCGGAAGAGGAGAGUGGAAUUCCCGGUGUAGCGGUGAAAUGCGCAGAUAUCGGGAAGAACACCCGUGGCGAAGGCGGCUCUCUGGGACGGUACUGACGCUGAGAAGCGAAAGCAUGGGGAGCGAACAGG